UACAGAGGUCUCAAGCGUUGUUCGGAUUCACUGGGCGUAAAGCGCACGUAGGCGGAUUGCUAAGUCAGGGGUGAAAUCCUGGAGCUCAACUCCAGAACUGCCUUUGAUACUGGCGACCUUGAGUCCGGGAGAGGUGAGUGGAACUGCGAGUGUAGAGGUGAAAUUCGUAGAUAUUCGCAAGAACACCAGUGGCGAAGGCGGCUCACUGGCCCGGUACUGACGCUGAGGUGCGAAAGCGUGGGGAGCAAACAGG
rnacentral:rRNA from 1 species